GACGGAGGAUGCAAGCGUUAUCCGGAAUGAUUGGGCGUAAAGCGUCCGCAGGUGGCAGUUCAAGUCUGCUGUCAAAGACCGGGGCUUAACUUCGGAAAGGCAGUGGAAACUGAACAGCUAGAGUAUGGUAGGGGCAGAGGGAAUUCCUGGUGUAGCGGUGAAAUGCGUAGGAUAUCGAAGAGGAACACCUGCGGCGAAGGCGGGUUGCUGGGCUGAUACUGACGCUGAGGCGCGAAAGCCAGGGGAGCGAACGGG
rnacentral:rRNA from 1 species